ACUUAAAUUGAAGAGUUUGAUCAUGGCUCAGAUUGAACGCUGGCGGCAGGCCUAACACAUGCAAGUCGAACGGUAGCACAGAGGAGCUUGCUCCUUGGGUGACGAGUGGCGGACGGGUGAGUAAUGUCUGGGAAACUGCCCGAUGGAGGGGGAUAACUACUGGAAACGGUAGCUAAUACCGCAUAACGUCGCAAGACCAAAGAGGGGGACCUUCGGGCCUCUUGCCAUCGGAUGUGCCCAGAUGGGAUUAGCUAGUAGGUGGGGUAACGGCUCACCUAGGCGACGAUCCCUAGCUGGUCUGAGAGGAUGACCAGCCACACUGGAACUGAGACACGGUCCAGACUCCUACGGGAGGCAGCAGUGGGGAAUAUUGCACAAUGGGCGCAAGCCUGAUGCAGCCAUGCCGCGUGUAUGAAGAAGGCCUUCGGGUUGUAAAGUACUUUCAGCGAGGAGGAAGGCGUUG
rnacentral:rRNA from 1 species